UACGGAGGUGGCUAGCGUUGUUCGGAAUUACUGGGCGUAAAGCGCACGUAGGCGGACUGUUAAGUCGGGGGUGAAAUCCCGGGGCUCAACCCCGGAACUGCCCUCGAUACUGGCAGUCUUGAGGACGGGAGAGGUGAGUGGAAUGCCGAGUGUAGAGGUGAAAUUCGUAGAUAUUCGGCGGAACACCAGUGGCGAAGGCGGCUCACUGGCCCGUUUCUGACGCUGAGGUGCGAAAGCGUGGGGAGCAAACAGG
rnacentral:rRNA from 1 species